AUUGAACGCUGGCGGCAGGCCUAACACCUGCAAGUCGAACGAGUGGCGGACGGGUGAGUAAUGUCUGGGAAACUGCCUGAUGGAGGGGGUUAACUACUGGAAACGGUAGCUAAUACCGACUACCAUGGGAUGUGCCCAGAUGGGAUUAGCUAGUAGGUGGGGGAAAGGCUCACCUAGGCGACGAUCCCUAGCUGGUCUGAGAGGAUGACCAGCCACACGGGAACUGAGACACGGUACAGACGCCUACAGGAGGCAGCAGUGGGGAAUAUUGCACAAUGGGCGCAAGACUGAUGCAGCCAUGCCGCGUGUAUGAAGAAGGCCUUCGGGUUGUAAAGUACUUUCAGCGGGGAGGCGUUGCCCGCAUAAGAAGCACCGACUAACUCCGGACCAACAGCCGCGGUAAUAC
rnacentral:rRNA from 1 species